UGAAUAAAAUAAUAAAAUAAAGUUUUAUUAAAUAAAUAAUUUAAAUGAUAAUUUAGGUGAAAAUUUUAUUUUAAUUUAAAUAAAUAAGUAAUAAUAAUAAAUAUAUUUAUUAACAUUGGGUAUAAUUAGAAUUGAUUUAAUAUAAAACUGAACUUAAAUAAAUAUAUAUUUUUAAAUUUUUGAAUAAAUAAUUAUUAGAAAUUUGUCGUUAUGUAUUUGAAAAUUAAUUCAUAUAGAAUAACACCUAAUAGUUAAUGAUAUGUCCAAGGAGAUUGAAAGAUUUUAUGGCGGUUUAGAAAAUUUAAAUUACUAAAUUGUAAAUUAUUAAAUAUUAAUUAAAUUAAUUUAAAUUAA
rnacentral:rRNA from 1 species